CGCUUCCAUCAUUGUAUCGGCUAAAUUGUAAAAAAUUCUGUAUUCAGAAAUUUGUCUUUCCUAACAAAUUCAUUAUAACGCAUUCAAUUUGCUACGAGAUUUGUAAUAACCUGAUUGAAAUCCAAAAGCCAUAUUGUCAAAAAGCAUGUGAUGAAAAAUUCAACAAAUCUAAUAGUAAGUAUAAUUACG